rnacentral:rRNA from 1 species
AACGAACGCUGGCGGCAGGCUUAACACAUGCAAGUCGAACGCCCCGCAAGGGGAGUGGCAGGCGGGUGAGUAACACGUGGUAACAUGCCCAAAGGUACGGAAUAUUCUCGGGAAACUGGGAGCAAUACCGUAUGUGCCCGAAAGGGGAAAGAUUUAUCGCCUUUGGAUUGGCCCGCGUUGGAUUAGCUAGUUGGUGGGGUAAAAGCCUACCAAGGCGACGCUCCAUAGCUGGUCUGUGAGGCCGACCAGCCACACUGGGACUGAGACACGGCCCAGACUCCUACGGGAGGCAGCAGUGGGGAAUCUUGGACAAUGGGCGCAAGCCUGAUCCAGCCAUGCCGCGUGAGUGAUGAAGGCCCUAGGGUUGUAAAACUCUUUCGUGGGGGACGAUAAUGACGGUACCCCAAGAAUAAGCUCCGGCUAACGUCGUGCCAGCCGCCGCCGUAA